rnacentral:tRNA from 1 species
GGGAACGUGGCUUAUUGGUAGAGUGCUUGCCUUGCAUGCAUGAGGCCCUGGGUUCAAUUCCUCAGCACCA